rnacentral:rRNA from 1 species
UACGUAGGGGGCAAGCGUUGUCCGGAAUUAUUGGGCGUAAAGAGCUCGUAGGCGGUUUGUUGCGUCGGCUGUGAAAUCCCGAGGCUCAACCUCGGGUCUGCAGUCGAUACGAGCAAACUAGAGUGUUGCAGGGGAGACUGGAAUCCCUGGUGUAGCGGUGAAAUGCGCAGAUAUCAGGAGGAACACCGGUGGCGAAGGCGGGUCUCUGGGCAACAACUGACGCUGAGAAGCGAAAGCAUGGGGAGCGAACAGG